rnacentral:rRNA from 1 species
CCAACAAGGCCUUUACUGACGCUAAAGCUCGAAGGUGCGGGUAUCGAACAGGAUUAGAUACCCUGGUAGUCCGCACGGUAAACGAUGGAUGCCCGCUGUUUGCGAUAUACUGUGAGCGGCCAAGAGAAAUCGUUAAGCAUCCCACCUGGGGAGUACGCCGGCAACGGUGAAACUCAAAGGAAUUGACGGGGGCCCGCACAAGCGGAGGAACAUGUGGUUUAAUUCGAUGAUACGCGAGGAACCUUACCCGGGCUUGAACUGCAGGAGAACGAUUCAGAGAUGAUGAGGCCCUUCGGGGCUCCUGUGGAGGUGCUGCAUGGUUGUCGUCAGCUCGUGCCGUGAGGUGUCGGCUUAAGUGCCAUAACGAGCGCAACCCUUUUCAUUAGUUGCCAUCAGGUAAUGCUGGGCACUCUGGUGAUACUGCCACCGUAAGGUGUGAGGAAGGUGGGGAUGACGUCAAAUCAGCACGGCCCUUACGUCCGGGGCUACACACGUGUUACAAUGGGGGGUACAGAGAGUCGGAUGUACGCAAGUACAUUCUAAUCCUAAAAGCCUUCCUCAGUUCGGAUUGGGGUCUGCAACCCGACCCCAUGAAGCUGG